UACGUAGGGGGCAAGCGUUAUCCGGAAUUAUUGGGCGUAAAGAGCUCGUAGGCGGUUUGUCGCGUCUGCUGUGAAAACCCGAGGCUCAACCUCGGGCCUGCAGUGGGUACGGGCAGACUAGAGUGCGGUAGGGGAGAUUGGAAUUCCUGGUGUAGCGGUGGAAUGCGCAGAUAUCAGGAGGAACACCGAUGGCGAAGGCAGAUCUCUGGGCCGUAACUGACGCUGAGGAGCGAAAGCGUGGGGAGCGAGUAGG
rnacentral:rRNA from 1 species